rnacentral:rRNA from 1 species
UACAGGGGGUGCAAACGUUGCUCGGAAUUAUUGGGCGUAAAGCGCGCGUAGGCGGCCACUUAAGUCGGAUGUGAAAGCCCCUGGCUCAACUGGGGAAGUGCACCCGAAACUGCGUAGCUAGAGUCCUGGAGAGGAAGGUGGAAUGCUUGGUGUAGAGGUGAAAUUCGUAGAUAUCAAGCGGAACACCGGUGGCGAAGGCGGCCCCCUGGUUGGAUACUGACGCUGAGACGCGAAAGCGUGGGGAGCAAACAGG